rnacentral:lncRNA from 1 species
AUUUUAUUUCAACUUUAUAAAUAUAAAUGUUUCAAUCAGUAAUACAAAUAUCACAAGGACAAGUCGCCGACACUAACACUAAAUUUAAAUUAGAAUUGUCAGAGUAAAAACAUGAACUAUAACACUAUAAUCAUGAUAAACUAGCCAACAUUCGGAAGUAACUUGUUUUGUAGCUUUUUUGUAUACUGUAACAGUUGUUUUUCAAUUAUAUGGUAAGUCUUGGAAAUUAUCACAUUGGCAAGCACAUCACAUGUCCUUAUUUUUGUGUCAUAUGAUAAAUAAAUGACAAUUUAUUAAUCAAUAUUAUGAUAUUAUUUUUGUGCUUGAAUAUUUGUGAACAAAGACGGCAAGUGAACACCCGAUUUCAGCUCUAAACAAUUACUUUCAAAUAUAAACCCUUUAAGAAGAUUCUGAAACUGUCAUUAAAUGAAAUUAAUUUGCUGAACAUAUUAAUAUGAAGCUAAAAUGAUUGCAUUCGCCUCAGUGUAACCAUUAGUAUGCUGUUUGUAUAAGAAAUGUUUAAGAUACUAAAUAAACAAACACAGAAUGAUAAAUUUUGUUGGAAUAUUAACAAACGAUUGUAUAACUUCGGUAAGAUUUAUCUGUUUUUAUCUAAACACAAACAGAUCCAUUGACCUAAAGACGGUGAACCUUUAUCAGUUAUCUGACCAAAAGAAAACAUUCGAUAUACUCAAUCGGCCAAGGUCUUAACAAUUUUGCUUUUCUUUUAGGUAAAGCGUUGAGUCGCAGCGGCGAUUUAGCAACAAUGGAAGUCCAGGCGAAACCAAUUCUUCCUACAACAGAAAAAGACCCAUCUGAUUUGGAUCAGCAACCACGUGUUUACAAGAGACGAUGGAUGAUUGUGUUUUUGUUCGCCUUCUACUCUCUCAGUAACGCAUACCAGUGGAUACAUCUAAACAUUAUAGGCGACGUGAUAUUAAAAUAUUACAAUGCUAGCAUGCCAGAGGAUCAAUUUCAAAGGGAAACCACACUAGACUGGUUAUCUAUGGUUUAUAUGCUAGCAUAUAUACCGUUGAUAUUUCCCGCCACGUGGCUACUUAACAAAAAAGGCCUCCGUGUUGUUGCGAUUUGUGGUUGUUUUCUUAAUGCACUUGGGGCAUGGCUCAAAGUAGCAUGUGUGAGUCCAGACAGAUUCCC